rnacentral:rRNA from 1 species
AGCGGAAGAAAAGAAACUAACCAGGCAWUCCSCUAGUAACGGCGAGUGAACCGGGAAGAGCCCAGCUUGAAAAUCUCCAGCCCCCGGCUGGCGAAUUGUAGUCUAGAGAAGCGCCUUCUGCGGAGCUCCGGGCCCAAGUCCCCUGGAAAGGGGCGUCAGAGAGGGUGAGAACCCCGUUGGGCCCGGCCGCCUUCGCCCCACGAAGCGCUUUCCCAGAGUCGGGUUGUUUGGGAAUGCAGCCCAAAGCAGGUGGUAAAUCCCAUCUAAGGCUAAAUACCGACGGGAGACCGAUAGCGAACAAGUACCGUGAGGGAAAGAUGAAAAGAACUUUGAAAAGAGAGUUAAAAAGUGCUUGAAAUUGUUGAGAGGGAAGCGAUUGGAGGCCACGGGUGCGCCCAGGCACACGCCCGCCUAACGGUCGGCUGAAUGCGCUGGGUGCUGGUCAGCAUGGGUUGGGGGGGCGGGACAACCCCGGGGAUUGUUACCCCGGCUAUGCCUCCUCCCCGACCGAGGCGUGAACGGCGCUCUUGUAGUCCCUCGGGAACUGCGUCGUCAAGAUGCUGGCGGAAGGCCUUCAAUCGGCCCGUCUUGAAACACGGACCAAGGAGUCUAACAUGUAUGCGAGCUGGUGGGUGGCAAACCCAUGAAGCGCAAGGAAACUAACUGGUGGGAUGGCCUGUGCCUGCACCAUCGACCGACCAUGAUCUUCUGUGAAAGGUUCGAGUACGAGCAUACCUGUUGGGACCCGAAAGAUGGUGAACUAUGCCUGAGCAGGGCGAAGCCAGAGGAAACUCUGGUGGAGGCUCGUAGAUGUGCUGACGUGCAAAUCGCUKUUCGGACUGAUGGGUAUAGGGGCGAAAGACUAAUCGAACCUUCUAGUAAA